rnacentral:rRNA from 1 species
UGGGGAAUAUUGCACAAUGGGCGAAAGCCUGAUGCAGCGACGCCGCGUGAGGGAUGACGGCCUUCGGGUUGUAAACCUCUUUCAGCAGGGACGAAGCGAAAGUGACGGUACCUGCAGAAGAAGCACCGGCCAACUACGUGCCAGCAGCCGCGGUAAUACGUAGGGUGCAAGCGUUGUCCGGAAUUAUUGGGCGUAAAGAGCUCGUAGGCGGCUUGUCGCGUCGGCUGUGAAAACCUGGGGCUCAACCCCGGGCCUGCAGCCGAUACGGGCAAGCUAGAAUUCGGUAGGGGAGACUGGAAUUCCUGGUGUAGCGGUGAAAUGCGCAGAUAUCAGGAGGAACACCGGUGGCGAAGGCGGGUCUCUGGGCCGAUAUUGACGCUGAGGAGCGAAAGCGUGGGGAGCAAACA